rnacentral:rRNA from 1 species
UUAGGAAUUUUGCGCAAUGGCCGGAAGGCUGACGCAGCAACGCCGCGUGGGUGAGGACGGCCUUCGGGUUGUAAAGCCCUUUUCCCAGGGACGAAGACAGUGACGGUACCUGGGGAAGAAGCCCCGGCUAACUACGUGCCAGCAGCCGCGGUAAGACGUAGGGGGCGAGCGUUGUCCGGAUUUAUUGGGCGUAAAGGGCGUGUAGGCGGCUUGUUAAGGGUGUGGUGAAAUCUCCCGGCUUAACUGGGAGGGGACCGCGCCGACUGGGGAGCUAGAGGACGGUAGGGGCGCGCGGAAUUCCCGGUGUAGUGGUGAAAUGCGUAGAGAUCGGGAGGAACACCGGUGGCGAAGGCGGCGCGCUGGGCCGGCCCUGACGCUGAAACGCGAAAGCGUGGGGAGCGAACUG